AGCGGCGGACGGCUGAGUAACACGUAGGAACGUACCCCAAAGUGAGGGAUAAGCACCAGAAAUGGUGUCUAAUACCGCAUGUGGCCCACGGGCUAAAGCUUUAUGCGCUUUGGGAACGGCCUGCGUAAGAUUAGCUUGUUGGUGAGGUAAUGGCUCACCAAGGCGACGAUCUUUAGCUGGUCUGAGAGGAUGACCAGCCAGACUGGGACUGAGACACGGCCCAGACUCCUACGGGAGGCAGCAGUAGGGAAUUUUCCACAAUGGGCGAAAGCCUGAUGGAGCAACGCCGCGUGCAGGAUGAAGGCCUUCGGGUUGUAAACUGCUUUUACGAGUGAAGAUUAUGACGGUAGCUCGUGAAUAAGGAUCGGCUAACUCCGUGCCAGCAGCCGCGGUCAUACGGAGGACCCAAGCGUUAUCCGGAAUUACUGGGCGUAAAGAGUGCGUAGGUGGCAUUGUAAGUAGGUAGUGAAAGCGUUCGGCUCAACCGGAUAAACAUUAUCUAAACUGCAAAGCUAGAGGAUGAGAGAGGUUAUUGGAAUUCCCUGUGUAGGAGUGAAUCCGUAGAUAUCGGGAAGACACGAUGUCGUAGCAGGAUAACUGGCUCCAUUUUUCUGUG
rnacentral:rRNA from 1 species